GAAGAAUAGAUGGACUGAAGACCUCAUCUUCCUUCUGGAUAAAUAGCCAAAUGAUAAGCAUCACUAUUCUUCAUUUCAACAGGUUAUCUUGAUGUGACUUGUAGGAAUGUCUUUAGAAAGAAAAUGUUGAGAAUAGUAAUUACAUUAAAGAUCUCUUGAAAGCAGUAGCCUUCAUCUUUAUUUUUUACAGAGACUCACAAAAA
rnacentral:lncRNA from 1 species